AGAGUUUGAUCAUGGCUCAGGACGAACGCUGGCGGCGUGCUUAACACAUGCAAGUCGAACGGAAAGGCCCUUCGGGGUACUCGAGUGGCGAACGGGUGAGUAACACGUGGGUGAUCUGCCCUGCACUCUGGGAUAAGCCUGGGAAACUGGGUCUAAUACCGAAUAGGACCGCAUGCUUCAUGGUGUGUGGUGGAAAGCUUUUGCGGUGUGGGAUGGGCCCGCGGCCUAUCAGCUUGUUGGUGGGGUAAUGGCCUACCAAGGCGACGACGGGUAGCCGGCCUGAGAGGGUGUCCGGCCACACUGGGACUGAGAUACGGCCCAGACUCCUACGGGAGGCAGCAGUGGGGAAUAUUGCACAAUGGGCGCAAGCCUGAUGCAGCGACGCCGCGUGGGGGAUGACGGCCUUCGGGUUGUAAACCUCUUUCAAUAGGGACGAAGCGCAAGUGACGGUACCUAUAGAAGAAGGACCGGCCAACUACGUGCCAGCAGCCGCGGUAAUACGUAGGGUCCGAGCGUUGUCCGGAAUUACUGGGCGUAAAGAGCUCGUAGGUGGUUUGUCGCGUUGUUCGUGAAAACUCACAGCUUAACUGUGGGCGUGCGGGCGAUACGGGCAGACUAGAGUACUGCAGGGGAGACUGGAAUUCCUGGUGUAGCGGUGGAAUGCGCAGAUAUCAGGAGGAACACCGGUGGCGAAGGCGGGUCUCUGGGCAGUAACUGACGCUGAGGAGCGAAAGCGUGGGUAGCGAACAGGAUUAGAUACCCCGGUAGUCCAA
rnacentral:rRNA from 1 species